rnacentral:rRNA from 1 species
CCUACGGGAGGCAGCAGUGGGGAAUAUUGCACAAUGGGGGAAACCCUGAUGCAGCGACGCCGCGUGAGCGAUGAAGUAUUUCGGUAUGUAAAGCUCUAUCAGCAGGGAAGAAAAUGACGGUACCUGACUCAUACCCCCCGGCCAAAUACGUGCCAGCAACCGCGGCAACACGCAGGGGGCAAGCGUUAUCCGGAUUUACUGGGGGUAAAGGGAGCGUAGAGGGGUGUGCAAGGGAGCUGUGAAAGCCCAGGGCUUAACCCCGGGAGUGCAUUUGGAACUGUGUGGCUGGAGUGUCGGAGAGGCAGGCGGAAUUCCUGGUGUAGCGGUGAAAUGCGUAGAUAUUAGGAGGAACACCAGUGGCGAAGGCGGCCUGCUGGACGAUGACUGACGUUGAGGCUCGAAAGCGUGGGGAGCAAACAGGAUUAGAUACCCCGGUAGUC